UGGGGAAUAUUGGACAAUGGGGGAAACCCUGAUCCAGCGACGCCGCGUGUGUGAAGAAGGCCUGCGGGUUGUAAAGCACUUUCGGUGGGAACGAAAUAUGCCGGGCUAAUACCCCGGUAGGCUGACGUUACUCAAUGAAGAAGCACCGGCUAACUCUGUGCCAGCAGCCGCGGUAAUACAGAGGGUGCGAGCGUUAAUCGGAAUUACUGGGCGUAAAGGGCGCGUAGGCGGCAAUUCAAGUCAUCUGUGAAAUCUCCGGGCUUAACUCGGAACGGUCAGAUGAUACUGCUUUGCUAGAGUGCAGAAGGGGCAAUCGGAAUUCUUGGUGUAGCGGUGAAAUGCGUAGAUAUCAAGAGGAACACCUGAGGUGAAGACGGGUUGCUGGGCUGACACUGACGCUGAGGCGCGAAAGCCAGGGGAGCAAACGGGAUUAGAUACCCCCGUAGUCCCUGAGCGGGCUGGCAAGGCGCAU
rnacentral:rRNA from 1 species